AAGUGUGAGGACAGUCUGGCUGUGACAUCUGCCACCUCAUUAAUCACCUGGCUGGCUAGGAGGGUGUCCCCUUCCUUCUUCAUCACUCCAUAUGUGUCCCUCCCCAAGCUAAGCUGUAUGCUUGGCUACAGAGGAUGGCCCUGACUGAUAGAGGAGGAUUGUUUUCAGUCAACGGUAGACAAGUAGCUCCACACCCCUACUAAAAUCUCCAAACAAGCUCUUGUGAAAAUGUUUAUAAGCACAAUGAAAUAUGAUACAUUCCAAAUUGAAUUCAGCCUUA
rnacentral:snRNA from 1 species